rnacentral:SRP_RNA from 1 species
UCUGGGCAAGUGGCGCGUGCCUGUAGUCCCAGCUACUUGGGAGGCUGAGGUGGAAGGAUUGCUUGAGCCUAGGAGUUCUGGGCUGUAGUGCGCUAUGCUGAUCGGGUGUCUGCACUAAGUUUGGCAUCAAUAUGGUGACCUCCGGGGAGCAAGGGACCACCAGGUUGCCUAAGGAGGGGUGAAUGGCCCAGGUCGGAAAUGGAGCAGGUCAAAACUCCCAUGCUGAUCAGUAGUGGGAUCGCGCCUGUGAAUAGCCACUGCACUGCGGCCUGGGCAACAUAGCGAGACCCCAUCUCU